GUGAUGGUGAUACCUUACAGCAAGUCUAGGACUGUUACCUUUGCCAGUGCACAGGCCAAAGAGUGCUCACUAGGUUUGGAGGCAAUAGAACAAUUCCCAUUGACUUUGUGGACACUGGAUCAGGCCCAUAUGGUCUCCAGUAACAUCCUACAC